rnacentral:lncRNA from 1 species
CCGAAACAGAUUCUCAAUAGCAAGCCAGAGGUCGUGAGCAGAACAUUUUGUUUUAAGAACGGUGUCGAGGAUGGACUCAGAGAUGGUGCCAUAGAUCCACAUCUUGACAAGGCCAUCACGUUCCUUCCAGGAAACAUCAGUGGGUGACGACGGGGAAGACGAGCCAUCGAUGUGUCCCGACACACCAAAAGUGAGACAAUGUGUCUCAAAGAGCUCUCUCCAAGUAUCGUAAUUGAGUUUCUCCAUGUCCAGCAUAAUAGGAAUGUAUGCACGG